AUUGAACGCUGGCGGCAGGCCUAACACAUGCAAGUCGAGCGGAGCGGCGGACGGGUGAGUAAUGCCUAGGAAUCUGCCUGGUAGUGGGGGAUAACGUCCGGAAACGGGCGCUAAUACCGCACACUAUCAGAUGAGCCUAGGUCGGAUUAGCUAGCUGGGGGGGUAAAGGCCUACCAAGGCGACGAUCCGUAACUGGCCUGAGAGGGUGAUCGGCCACACUGGGACUGAGGCACGGUCCAGACGCCUACGGGAGGCAGCAGUGGGGAAUAUUGGAAAAUGGGCGGAAGCAUGAUCCAGCCAUUCCGCGAGGGGGAAGAAGGUCUUCGGAUUGUAAAGCACUUUAAGUUGGAAGGCGUUACCAACAGAAUAGACACCGGCUAACUACGUGCCAGCAGCCGCGGUAAUAC
rnacentral:rRNA from 1 species